rnacentral:rRNA from 1 species
CCUACGGGCGGCAGCAGUGAGGAAUAUUGGUCAAUGGGCGCGAGCCUGAACCAGCCACGUAGCGUGAAGGAUGACUGCCCUACGGGUUGUAAACUUCGUUUAUAAAGGAAUAAAGUGAGGCACGUGUGCCUUUUUGUAUGUACUUUAUGAAUAAGGAUAGGCUAACUCCGUGCCAGCAGCCGCGGUAAUACGGAGGAUCCGAGCGUUAUCCGGAUUUAUUGGGUUUAAAGGGAGCGUAGAUGGGAUGUUAAGUCAGUUGUGAAAGUUUGCGGCUCAACCGUAAAAUUGCAAUUGAUACUGGCAGCCUGGAGUACAGGUGAGGUAGGCGGAAUUCGUGGUGUAGCGGUGAAAUGCGUAGAUAUCAGGAAGAACUCCGAUGGCGAAGGCAGCCUACUAAACUGCAACUGACAUUGAGGCUCGAAAGUGUGGGUAUCAAACAGGAUUAGAUACCCUAGUAGUC